GUGAGACAAGCCAGGGAGAAAUUAUUUGAGAAAGGGGGAAAGUUGACCGCUGAGUCAUUCAACUUCAGGGACUCCCUAGUUCCUGCAGGUUGGAAGAGGAGGCUGGUAGAGAAGAUGUUGAAGCUGGAAGGUGUCUUUUCCACUGAUGAGUUUGAUGUGAGUUGUUCCAAGAGCACUCAUCACACUAUCUAGGUGACCGAGGAAAGCUUGUUUAGAGAGCAGUUGCGGGAGACUGGCCCCUGCAGAUGUAGAGGAUGUUCAGCAGCAUUUGUGUAAGCUGAAGGAAACUGGGAUCAAAGUCUCAAAGCCCCUAUGCAUCCCCAAUAGUAGCAGCCUUAAAGAAGAAUGGGAAGGUACGGAUGUAUGUGGACUAUAGGUCUCUGAACAAGCAUACUAUCCCUGACCAGCAUACGGUCCCGAGGAUUGAAAACACGCUGGCCUGCCUGAGUGGUGUGAAGUGGUUCAGUGUGCUGGACUUGAGGAGUGGAUAUUACCAGAUCCCCAUGAGAGAGGCGGACUAAGAGAAGACAGCAUUUAUAAGUCCCCUGGGGUUUUUCCAGUUCAAAUGGAUGCAAAACUGGGCUGAAAAGUGGCAGAUGGAGUUCAACUCAGUUAAGUGUGAGGUAGUUCAAUUUGGUAGAUCAAAUUUGAUGGCAUAAUAUAGCAUUAACGGCAAGACACUUGAUAGUGUGGAGGAUCAGAAGGAUCUUGGGGUCCGAGUCCAUAGGACGCUCAAAGCUUCUAUGCAGUUUGACUCUAUGGUUAAGAAGGCAUACGGUGCAUUGGCUUUCAUCCACCGUGGGACUAAGUUUAAGAGCCAAGAGGUAAUGUUGCAGUUAUAUAGGACCCUGGUCAGACCUCACUUAGAGUACUGUGCUCAGUUCUGGUCACCUCACUACAGGAAGGACGUGGAAACCAUAGAAAGCAUGCAGAGGAGAUCUACAAGGAUGUUGCCUGGACUGGGGAGCCUGGAAGUAGAGGAGAUGUCAGGGGUAAGUUUUUUUACACAGAGAGUGGUGAGUGUGUGGAAUGGGCUGCCGGUGGUGGUGGUGGAGGUGGAAUUGGAAACAUUAGGGUGUUUUAAGAGACUCCUGGAUGGAUACAUGGAGCUUAGAAAAAUAGAGGGCUGUGGGUAAGGCUCGGUAGUUCUAAGGUAAGGACAUGUUCAACACAGCUUUGUGGGCCAAAGGGCCUGUAUUUGCUGUAGUAGGUUUUCUAUGUUCUAUGCUUCUACGAGGACAUGACUAAAUUUGGUGGAGGGAGAGUGUAAUGCGCUGUAAGGUUUCACUGCUAAUGUAAUGGCCUCUCUGUAAUGUCCUAGCAGCAAUGUUUGGGUUAUGACUAGAGAUAACGGGGGUUUUGGAAUGUGUCCUAGCCAAUGAGUGGGAUCUUGUUCUUUCUUGUGGAGUCUGGGAGCAGGAAUUUCACAGUCUUUUGCCAAGGAGAGAUGAGGAGAGAAGACGUGAAUGGAGGGAAUUGGUAGACAGCCAGAUGGAGUGGACUUGGAGCAAGGGACCGAAGGUCGGCUACACUCAGAGGAGGGGAACAAAUGGACAGAACCGACAGGACCACAAUGAAAAUACUGAUUUAGGAGAGCUUCCAACAAUGCCAUUCUCUCACAAAGAUCCCAUGACAAGAUUGUAAAUGGAUUGGGUUUUUUUUCAGCCUCCUCACCAUGGCGGGACAGCAACCUUCCAAAAAGGUAAGCAACACCAACAAAAUGCUGGAGGAAUUUGGCAGGUCAGGUAGCAUAUCUGGAGAGGAAUAAAGAGUCAAUGUGUUGGGCCGGGACCCUU